rnacentral:misc_RNA from 1 species
GAUGAAGAACGCAGCGAAAUGCGAUAAGUAGUGUGAAUUGCAGAAUUCAGUGAAUCAUCGAAUCUUUGAACGCACAUUGCGCCCCUUGGUAUUCCAUGGGGCAUGCCUGUUCGAGCGUCAUUUGUACCUUCAAGCCUUGCUUGGUGUUGGGUGUUUGUCUCGCCUCUGCGCGCAGACUCGCCUCAAAACAAUUGGCAGCCGGCGUAUUGAUUUCGGAGCGCAGUACAUCUCGCGCUUUGCACUCAGAACGAAGACGUCCAAAAGUACAUUUUUACACUCUUGACCUCGGAUCAGGUAGGGAUACCCGCUGAACUUAAGCAUAUCAAUAAGCGGAGGA